GACGAACGCUGGCGGCGUGCUUAACACAUGCAAGUCGAACGGUGAAGCUCCAGCUUGCUGGAGUGGAUCAGUGGCGAACGGGUGAGUAACACGUGAGCAACCUGCCCCUGACUCUGGAAUAAGCGCUGGAAACGGCGUCUAAUACUGGAUACGAGAAGGGUCCGCAUGGGCACUUUCUGGAAAGUUUUUCGGUUGGGGAUGGGCUCGCGGCCUAUCAGAUUGUUGGUGAGGUAAUGGCUCACCAAGGCGACGACGGGUAGCCGGCCUGAGAGGGCGACCGGCCACACUGGGACUGAGACACGGCCCAGACUCCUACGGGAGGCAGCAGUGGGGAAUAUUGCACAAUGGGCGAAAGCCUGAUGCAGCGACGCCGCGUGAGGGAUGACGGCCUUCGGGUUGUAAACCUCUUUCAGCAGGGAAGAAGCGAAAGUGACGGUACCUGCAGAAGAAGCACCGGCUAACUACGUG
rnacentral:rRNA from 1 species